rnacentral:rRNA from 1 species
GAUGAACGCUGGCGGCGUGCCUAAUACAUGCAAGUCGAGCGAACAGACGAGGAGCUUGCUCCUCUGACGUUAGCGGCGGACGGGUGAGUAACACGUGGAUAACCUACCUAUAAGACUGGGAUAACUUCGGGAAACCGGAGCUAAUACCGGAUAAUAUAUUGAACCGCAUGGUUCAAUAGUGAAAGACGGUUUUGCUGUCACUUAUAGAUGGAUCCGCGCCGCAUUAGCUAGUUGGUAAGGUAACGGCUUACCAAGGCGACGAUGCGUAGCCGACCUGAGAGGGUGAUCGGCCACACUGGAACUGAGACACGGUCCAGACCCUACGGGAGGCAGCAGUAGGGAAUCUUCCGCAAUGGGCGAAAGCUUGACGGAGCAACGCCGCGUGAGUGAUGAAGGUCUUCGGAUCGUAAAACUCUGUUAUUAGGGAAGAACAAAUGUGUAAGUAACUAUGCACGUCUUGACGGUACCUAAUCAGAAAGCCACGGCUAACUACGUG